rnacentral:rRNA from 1 species
CGCUGGCGGCGUGCUUUAUACAUGCAAGUCGAACGAUGAAGUUCCUUCGGGAAUGGAUUAGUGGCGAACGGGUGAGGAACACGUGAGAAACCUGCCUUUCAUUCUGGAAUAACACCGGGAAACCGGUGCUAAUACCGGAUACUCCGUCUUGGCGGCAUCGCCGAGCCGGGAAAAAAUUUUGAUGAAAGAUGGUCUCGCGGCCUAUCAGCUAGUUGGUGAGGUAAUGGCUCACCAAGGCGACGACGGGUAGCCGGCCUGAGAGGGCGACCGGCCACACUGGGACUGAGACACGGCCCAGACUCCUACGGGAGGCAGCAGUAGGGAAUAUUGGGCAAUGGGCGCAAGCCUGACCCAGCGACGCCGCGUGAGGGAUGAAGGUCUUCGGAUUGUAAACCUCUUUCAGUAGGGAAGAAGCGAAAGUGACGGUACCUAAAGAAGAAGCACCGGCUAACUAUGUGCCAGCAGCCGCGGUAAUACAUAGGGUGCAAGCGUUGUCCGGAAUUAUUGGGCGUAAAGAGCUCGUAGGUCGUUUGUCGCGUCGAUUGUGAAAAUCUGAGGCUCAACCUCAGACCUGCAGUCGAUACGGGCAAACUAGAGUGUGGUAGGGGAGACUGGAAUUCCUGGUGUAGCGGUGGAAUGCGCAGAUAUCAGGAGGAACACCAAUGGCGAAGGCAGGUCUCUGGGCCAUAACUGACACUGAGGAGCGAAAGUGCGGGGAGCGAACAGGAUUAGAUACCCUGGUAGUCCGCACCGUAAACGGUGGGCACUAGUUGUGGGAACCUUCCACGGUUUCCGCGACGCAGCAAACGCAUUAAGUGCCCCGCCUGGGGAGUACGAUCGCAAGAUUAAAACUCAAAGGAAUUGACGGGGCCCCGCACAAGCAGCGGAGCAUGCGGCUUAAUUCGACGCAACGCGAAGAACCUUACCAAGGCUUGACAUAUAGCGAAAAGUGGCAGAGAUGUCAUGUCCGCAAGGGCGCUAUACAGGUGGUGCAUGGUUGUCGUCAGCUCGUGUCGUGAGAUGUUGGGUUAAGUCCCGCAACGAGCGCAACCCUCGUUCUGUGUUGCCAGCAUUUAGUUGGGGACUCA